ACCUUUUUGGCAGCUUCCUCUGUCUCCUUCAUAGCCCUCAGCUCCUGCUUGAAGCCUUCCUUCUCGCAAGCUUGGACCACUUCCGGUGGUUCGCAUCGUUCGGCGCCACGCAGUUUUCAUACGUGUCCUCGACGAAUACUUGAAGACGGAGCACUUCCUCGGAACAAACGGAAUCGCGGAACAACGUUUCUAGAAGCUCGUUCGCGUAACUUUCCAAUUCCACGGCUCUAGCUUCGAGUUUGCGAAUGGUCUCCUGAAUUUAUCAUCGUAAGUAUGUGUGCCAUGAUUCUUAAAAUUGAUUUACUUGUAAUUAUUUUAUUUUAUUUAUUUCUGGUAUUUUGUAUUUUGUAUUUAUAAUUCUCAACCCAUUAAAAGCCAACGUUGGAUUAACGCAACGUUUCAACCGCGAUUCUUUUCAAUCAACUUGCGAUAACGAAUUCUAUUUUCGUACAAUGUGGCUAUAUGAAGGAGAAUUCUAAAGAUUCUAAAGAAGAAGAAAUGUUUCUCGUUUAUUGUGUUGGUUAUUUCCGUAACUUCCGCCUGGAUCUGUUCUUCAGCGGACUGAAUCGUCACCAUCAAUUCAGACAUCGGCUUUGCCAGAGACUCCAAGUGAAUCAACGCGUUCAGAUUUUGCGUUUCUAUCGCUCUGAACACGUAGAUCAGUUCAAAUGGAUCUUCGAAGUACAUAUUUGUCGGACCUGCCUUGUUAAUGUCUUGCUCGAAUAAGUCUAAAAAUACGAAGCAAUAAUUUUCAACACUUCGACGCGAAGAAUACAAAUAUUCUAACGAUUUGUUCGCUAAAUAUUAUAUCGUUUGUUAAAUAUUACUACUAAAUGUUUCUCACUACAAAAUUACAACUAGUAUUUUGGAUAUUAUAUUACACAUCUUUGCAUAUUGUAUCGCAUUUUUCUAUAUUAUUAGAAUUUCGUGUUGUUUAGAAUUCUAUAAUUCUAGUCAAAGCUAAGAAACGUUCUUGAAAAUUAUUCCAAGACUCCUUUCGCAACGAUGAAUGAAAAAUAAAUCUCGAAAGGAAAAAGGUAAGUAUAAAGGUAUGAAAUAAUUAAUAAAGUCUCCAUGCAAGACAUUAACGAAAUAUCUUCUAACAUAGAAUCUUUUCCAAGGUGAAGAAAACAUACAAAUGUAGAAUAACACGAAUUACCUAUGAGAUCGUCAAGCGAAGCAACUUCGUCAACCAUUCUGUAUCGACCGAAUAAAUCAUCAGCUCUGUGAAGGAUGCUUUCUCCAGAAUCAGUGCGAUGAAUCCAGUCGUGUUCCGCCCGCCAAGCGAGCGGAGACACCUGAUAGAGGAAUCUUUGACACAUCUUCACUGUCCUCCAGCUCUCCUCCCAAUGAUACACGUCCAGUCUGACCUUACCGUACUCUGCGGAAAGCUUGUUCCUCCUGUCUGUGAUCUGCCUAGUCUUCUUUAUCUCGUUUUCAGCCAACUGUAGAAUCUUCAUGCUCUCCUCGUGAUCCUUCGAAAGGAACUCCUCGAAACCGCUCACGUAUCGACGAUAUCGUCGCUGAUAGAAUAGAUGAAGCAUAUAGUAUUGAUGAGGAAUAGAUACUAGAGAUUUGAAUGAAAAAAUAAUUAUUAGAAAUUUAGAGAUAUUGGAGGGAAUUUGCAAUUUUUCCUAUUUAAUCUUUCAAUGAUGAUUGAAUUAUGGAAACGAGAUUAUAAUAUAUAAAAUAUAUAUCUGUCUACAAUUUAGCGCUAUGUUUAGAGACUUUAUAUUCUAGCUAAGGAAAUAAGUAAGAAUAAUGAGGAAAAAAAUUAUUUUAUUGCCAGGAAAUAAAUCAUCAUUAUUUGAAUUACUGGAAAAAAUAAAUUAAGAAAGCAUAUCCUAUUUGUAAUAUUCUAGAUAUUCUAAUACAAGACGUAGGAAUUUGGUAUGUAUCAAUAUGAGAUUUAUCAUAGAAACAUUAUUUUGGUACUUAUUAUCUUUUUUCUUGUUAUAUAUUAAUAACAAAUUUAUGGUUUUAGAUAUGCAAAGACAGACCUUGAUCUCAUCGAGUCGUUUCUGCUCCUCGACGAACUGUUGGUCUAUACGAAUACAAUCAUCCAUUUCUUGUCCAGCUAGCAGCCGAACCUUUAAAAUCUCACGAAUGUCUUCUACAUAGUUGCGCACAGAAAAUUUUUCUCUGACUAGUCUUCCAUCCAAUUCCGAGAAAUACUGCGGAUCUACGUCGGUUAUGGCUAUAGCUUCUUCCAAAUCUUUGUGUGUCUUCGCCUCUAGAGCCUCGAUGUCCACGUCCACCUUGCAACAUAAUCGUACAACUCGUAUCAAGUAAGGAAAUUCUUCUGAAAUCGAACAAUCAAAGUUCAAUCAGUAAUUAAACGUUCACAGACUCAAAAAUCUUUAUAAUAAAUUGAUUAAAUUUACUUGUGAUUUUUAAUUUUCUAAUUUAAAACUUAUUAUUAAUUUUAUAAAUUUCUAUAUUUUAGAAUAUUUUUCUUCCUAACUAUAGUAAACGAUUCGAUUGAAUUCUACGACAAAUCAUAGAAAUAUUUAUACUCUCGCAAAUAUUGAAUACGAAUGAUUAAUAUCUUUUAAUAUAUUCUGCAAUGUAUAUUGAUAGGAAUGUAUGGUGCAAUAAUUAAGUCUCUGAUUGAUAUAUCGUUUAUCGCAAAAUAGCAAAUAUUCGUAAUAUAAGUACGUGAACAUUUUUUAAACAAAUUGUCGAAUUCAAUAAUUAUAAGAGUAUGAUUCCCUGCAUAGUCUACAUGUAUUAAGAUCACACAUCAAAAUUGUAAUUCCUUACACGAAGUCUCCGUAGAAGAUCGUGCGAGUCUUUUGCUUUGAAGACAUCCAUUCUUCGUUCUUUAUCUGUGGUACGUUUUUUCGCCUUCCAAUAUUGAAAAUAAGAGAACAUGAGCGAACAAGGAGGAUAGACGAAUGGAGAUUGCUCCUCCAGGACAUUUCUAGCUUCUCCCAAGUGUUCAUGGCCCUUGGUAAAAUAAUUCUGUGAUCUAAAAAGUACAGAUUUCAAUGAUCGUAAUUUAAAAGAUCACUCUGCAUAAUAACUAUACCGCCGAUUUUUAUUUAAGACGCGAACAUGCAUAGAAUCCACAUAAUAAGCAAAAUAUCUAAAAUAAUGUACUCGCUACGUCAUACAGUAGAUAAAAUAAAUUUUUAAUCACGUUCCAUUUUUUCAAUUAUGUGUGUAUAAAAUAUAAAACUGCACAAACAUUACCAAUACAUUUAUUUUUUAAUAAAUUAAUUCAAAAGUAUGUAGUAAUAUACGUUAAAAGUAUAAUAUUGCAUAUAAAAAAGCGUUGAAUUGUACCCCCUAUACUUUCACAUACAAUAUUCGAUACAUUUUGAAAUCUUCUGUACAAGACACCCUGUAUAAAGAUUUCAAAAUUCUCCAAAUAUAAAGCUGUAAAGUGUUUAUCAUUUCACAGGGGCGCUCUUACCUGAAGAAGCCUUUCCGAGACUUUCUGGUGAACGCUGAUUUCUUUCGGGUCUUCUGGCUGAUCUGGCGUCGUCUAGAAGACGUCGACGUUAGAUCGGUCAUGUCUCCCGUAAUUCAGCUCAGCGUGCUUUAUUCAAACUGUCAGCUUUUCACCUGGCCGGCCGUUCACCUGCGUCGCUGUAGAAAAAACUCCGCUUUUCAUCUGAUCGCUAUGGUCAAAGGCAAGCACCAACAGAGAUGGCUCGCAUUUGCAUAAAACUUUUCUCUUCUCAAAUGCCUCAAGAAGAAUUGAAACAUUGAACUUUGAAUCUACCAAAGAACAAGAUUAUCGAGGAGCUUUUUUAAUUAGUAGAAUUAAAUUGUUCGCCUCUUCCUAGUGUAAUUUUUCUAUUUUUUAUUUUCGUUGUUUCGUCGAUUUACGUUUUAUUUUUAUCUGUUUCAUUAAGAAAUUUCUAUCACGAAUUUUAUUCUAUUCAUUUGAAAAGAAAGAGAACUCGUUGUUGCAAUUUUAUCGUUGAUUUAAUUAAUAUGAAAAUAUAUGGGAUUGGUGAAAGAAACAUUGUAUUGAUUAUUUCGCUUGAACAGGUGCAGGAAUAACAUAGAACAUAAAUGAAUCGACAAUGACAAUUUCACGAAUGUAUCGAAAAUGCAAGUUGAAAUAUAAAAUAAUCUCCUAUUAUCGAACUACGCUAAAGCUGAAGAUUCUCGAGAUACACUUGAGAGCAAACUUAAUUGAUACUCAUGAGUUUCGAAAUUUCUGCUAAAAUUCCUCUGAGAGCGUCGACGAAGGAAGUCUACAUUUAAAAAAGACAAAUUUAUCACGAGGAAUAAAGGAACGCAUUCUAUUCAUCAAAGUGUCUUUUCAUGGACUGCUUAAAUCUUCUCAUAUCUAAAACCUUCAAAGUAUCACAUACCAGACAUGGGGAUUGAUCACUAUAACACUGUGUAUAAUAAUUCUUUCAAGAAAGCAACUAUAUAAAACAAUAUAAUCCUAUAUAACAAUUUCUGCCUUCUAAGACAACUUCUAUAUCCUUCUAUGUAUAGAAUUUUUGCCAAGGCAACAAGUUCUCAACAAGAGAUAUAACGUUAAGACAUCAAAAUCCCUAUCUCUGACUGCGAGGCAGUGUUGAAAUGGAACAAGGAAUCGGAUGCAUCCUCUAGCGAUCCAGUGAAAAGUUGAUCCCUUAAAGAUCCGGGCACGCCCGGAAGCAACGAGCUCCGAUUCAAAGCUUGAAAAAGCUACUUACUUUCUAAAACAAAAGCCCGAAUCUCCUGCCUUUUCCAGCGAUAAAACUGCUAUCCAUC